rnacentral:lncRNA from 1 species
UCAAGACUAAAAUCAAGAUUUUAUCAUUUUGUUGACAAAAAAGUAACUGAUUUGCAAACCACCCAAUGUAAAUAUAUAAAUUUAUGUUUUUGAAAAUAUAGUAAGUUCAUAUGUAUCCGACUAAACAUUUUCAGACUAAACUGUAAUAAUAACUUUUUGCAAAGUAAUUUUUUUAAUAUUGUUUAAUAAAUAUGAUGUCCAACUACAUACAUAAUGAUAAUUUUACAUGAUAAACUAUGGUUCAAAAUCCAUUUAAAUAAUAUAAUUUAUUUAUUUAGGGUCCUACUUAUAUUUAUUGAUAAAAUGUUGUCAUUUGAAUUUUGGAUCUAUGCACUUUUUCGUUAAUG